CCUCCUCUUCAAUCUCUCUACUCUCAAAGACAAGCUUAAUCAAGUGCAAACUCUUGUUGGUGUCAUUCUCUCCCCAAAUCAACAAGACUCAUCAACUUCCAUGGCAUUAUCCACAAUGAACUCCACAAUACAAGAAAUCAUUGUAACUUCCACAUCAAUGAUGUUCACUUGCCAACAGAUUGCUCUUAGUUUCCCUCAAGGUACUACUUCUAUUAAAUGUACAAACCAAGAAUUUCAAAAGCAACAAUCUAAUAUUCAAUCAAAUUUUGGCAACAAUGACACAAGCAUUGAUCUUAGAGGUCAAAGCAUAUUUUCUAAUAAUGAGUCAGAACCAUUGGAUUGGUUUGGUGAAAGCUAUAAUAGUAACAUUAAUUAUAGGCUCAAGGAUGAUAUUGAUGAUCAAAGGGUUGAUCAUGAAAUUAGUGAAACCAAUAAUAGUAUAAGAGGGUCUAAUGAAGAUAGUUCAACGAAGAAUAAUUCUGAUCGUGACGAUACAUGCUUAAAAUUUGGGUCAUCUUAUAAUUGGGUCGGUCCAGAAUGUGACAAUGAGAUAGUUGAAUUGGACGCGGCUGAUUUAUUAGCUAAGUACACACAUUAUUGUCAAGUUUGUGGCAAAGGGUUCAAGAGGGAUGCAAAUUUGAGGAUGCAUAUGAGAGCUCAUGGGGAUGAGUACAAGAGUAGUGCAGCAUUGAGCAAUCCAAUUAAUAAGAAUAGAGAUUAUUUGAUGAGUAUGAAAAAUAGGAAAUAUUCAUGUCCUCAAGCAGGGUGUAGAUGGAACCAAAAACAUGCCAAGUUUCAACCAUUGAAGUCAUUGAUUUGUGCUAAGAAUCAUUACAAGAGAAGUCAUUGUCCCAAAAUGUAUGUGUGCAAGAGGUGUAAUUUGAAGCAAUUUUCUGUUCUUUCUGAUUUGAGGACACAUGAGAAACAUUGUGGUGAUCUUAGGUGGCAGUGUUCAUGUGGCACUACCUUUUCUAGGAAAGAUAAGCUUAUGGGACAUGUUGGUUUGUUUGUGGGACACCACCCGGUUAUCAAUGGUUUGUCAUAUAGUAGUACUCACACAAGUUAGAGCUCUAAACAUGAAUUAAUUGCAUAUGUAGGUUGAUCUAUAUAUAUAUGUUAGUUCAAAAUUAAAUUUUUGUAUGCAUUUAUAUAUUUAUAAUUUAUGAAUUGAUCAUGAAGAGUGUGAUAGAUUUAGCAAGUGUACUAAUUUAUCGAAGUAAUAAAUAUAAAUUCGUAUCUACGAGAACUGCGUUAAUAUCAAUUUAGCAAUAUUGUUAUUAUCUCGGAUGUAUAAAAUUUAUAGGUUAUCCUAGGUAGUUGGUUCGAUUGCAUAAACAGUAAAUGAGCUGAAUAUAAAAGUUGUUUGAAAGUAUAAGGAGAGAUGAGAUCUGGUCAUUCGAAUUUUCUGACUUAUUCCGUUUGGUAUACUACACCUAUUUCCUGUAAAUAUUUCUCUAGUUUUUCGAUGGUUAACUAAAAUAGUUCUAAUCAACUCAUUGACUUAGGACCCUCUUCUCAGAUUACAAUCCCUAAUUUCUUAGGUGAUCUAAUAUUCUUUGAAGGUUUUAAGAGCGCUAACCUUAUAUCACAAAUAAACAAUUAUCCAUAUAUUCCUAGACUAACCAUGUUUAUUUGAACAAAUCAAUUAGGUCUAAGUUGAAAGCUAGGAUCAGUAGUCUUUCAUUCUCACGAAUUCAUGUUAUAUAUUAUCAGUAUAUAAAAUACAUUAAGAACAAUUGAAUUGAGUAAAACUAGAUUGAUACCCACAUGAAAUAGAGUUUCACAACAACAUGGUUCAAACAAAGUUACAUCAGAUUCAUCUCAUAACCUAAUCUUUAAUAGAUUUAGCUACUCAUAAUUGAAAUUACAAAUAGCAUAAUCAAUUUAAGCAUAAAAACAUACACAAACUAUUAGUUGGAUGGAUUGACCACCACUUUAGUUCUUUGCUCUCAAAAUCGUGCUUCAGAUCUCCAAAAUUCCGAACCCUUACUUCUUGUAAGACUUCAGUUUAAAUAGGCAACAAAUGUAAUUGUGACACGAUUGCACCCAAUCGUGACACGAUUCCACCUUUUAUGUCCCAGGGUUCUCAAAAUAGGCUCCUCAAUCGUGACACAAUUUUUGCAAAUCGUGACACAAUUAUAUAGGUAGAAUUAACCUUCCUUUUGAUCAUGAAAUCGUGACACGAUGUCCAAAUCGUGUCACGAUGUCCAAAUCGUGUCACGAUGCAGCUUUUGUUCCAAAUCUUCAGUUUUCUUGCUUUUAACACUUCCAUGUUAUCUCAAAUCAUUACAUACUCAAUAUAAACUAUGAGAAUUACUCUAAAAAUUAUGUAAUGACAUGAUGUCAUCAGAGUGCUGUCCUAGCUUCACACCAUUACUAUUAAUUUGUCUUGAAAAUAAAAUUUGAGAUUUUAUUAUUUGAUAAGAAAAUAAGAUUGUAAAUUUAGUAUAUUGCGUUACAAAAAUUGUUGGUUUAAUUUUGUAAUUUGUUUAUCAACUAUAGAGGAGGAAAGUAAUUUGGAGUAGAAGAUAAAAAGAUGUUAUGGCCUAUAUGGGUACGAUCCUUAGCUCUUACCGAGAUCAAUUAUAAUGUGUUGAAGAAAAACAAUAUCAACAAUUUCAAUUGAGAAAUUUAUGAGAGAAAGACCGCUACCAAAUAAUUUUAACUACACGAAUUCAUACGUUCCAAGAUAUAUAUUUUUUUUGAAGAAACGUUCCAAGAUAUCUAUUACUACAAAUUAAUGAUUUAACCUUGUUAAACAGAGUCAAAAUAUUGAAAUUAAUUCAACAUAUGCAUUCUAUUGUAUGAUCAAGACAGGAAAAUAACAUAUUUUAAUCUGGAAAAAACCCCACUAUAUAUAUCUUAAUAUGUCUAAUUAUAUCUCCACGACAAUUGUAAGAUACAAAGUGAACUGACGAGCAUCGGAAGGUCCAACUCCUUUAGCAAUAUCAGAUCCAAAUAAUUUCUCAUCAAAAUCAAACAAUUCAUGAACCUUGACCCUCUUAGUGAAACAAGAUAGUACUCAAGUGAUUCGGAGGGAUAGUACUCUUGGUGAAACAAGAUAGACCUAAUCCAAUCUUGACCCUCUUGAAAGAACCUUUUGCAGCUCACUUCUUGAUAAUUGUGGAGUAAGGUGUUAAGACGAGUAACUGAGUUAGAAUCAAUGGAUCAAUGUGAAAGAACACUGAAAUGAAAGUUUAAUCUAUCAGUGGGUUUAAGCUUAGGGCGCCGCACCUCUAGAUUGUAGUUCAUACUUCGAAGGUAUUCAUAUUGUUUUUGGUAUUGUGCAUACAGUCCAUAGUAGUAACGUGCUGAUUCUGUACAUUGUUAUAAAACAUAAAACAUAAGAUAUGAUGCAUAGCAUAAAUUUAUUUACAAUCGUAUACAUCAAAAUUCUAAUACCUUAAAUACACCAUGCAUGAUUCUCGUCAAGAGAAAUGCUAGGGACACUCUCUUUUCAACACUCUCUUCAACACUCACCUUCUAGUUAACUUAAACCAAUGUGUGUCCCACCAUGAUUUAAGCAAAUUAGAAAGUGAAUGUUGGAGAGAAUGUUGAAAAGAGAGUGUCCCUAUCAUUCAUCUUAGUACACCAUUUAUCAUCUUAAGCAACAGUUAAAGCGUAGCCAAAACUGUGAAAAUAGUUGCCUAAAAGAACAGGGGACGUUUUUCAGGCGUCUCCUAUUCGAGCGUCGCCUAUUGUCUAAGGGGACGUUUUUUUAUGCUCUUUGGGCACAAUUUUUGAAAACGUCGCCUAAACCAUUGGAAUAGGAGACGCUUUUUUAUGUCAUUUAAUUUGAAGCAACAAUGUUUAACUGUUGCCAUAGGGGUCUACGAUUAUUAUUUGUCUCCUUAGAUUGAAAUAGUAAGGAAAAAAAAACUAGUAGGAAAGGCUUAGGAGACAUUUUUCGAAAGUACUCAAUUUUUUUUACAAUAAUUGUGUAAAUAUAAUCAAUUAUAAUUUCUAAAAAAUUGAAUUUAAACACAUCCAUAAAAGUUGUUACAAUAAACCUGACCUAAAAUAUUCAUUCUUGAUACAUGAGUUAACACAUAAUAAUAAAGAAAAUGUCUAACAUUAUUUGAUACCAAGUACAAGCUUAGCAAAAUAUAUGUCUUAAAAUUCAUCAUCAUCAUCUAUGUUGUCCUUUUGAAAUUCAUCAUUUACGCCGUCUUUUUCAUCAUCUUCAUUGAUACCUUGAAGCAAAAAAGAGUAAAACAAAAUUACAUCAACCAUAUCAAUUCAAUGGACAAUUAGAAAGUCAUUAGGAGUUAUACAUAACACAAAUAAAAACCAAGACAAUGAGAAUUGAGAGGCUGCUUGGCAGCGGCGAAGCUAGCAUAAAUUUUAUGCAGGGGCCAAAUUUAAAAAAUAAAAUAAAAUAUAUUUAAAAUCAACAUAUUAAAUUUAAAGAAAAAUUUAAUUAUAGUCUAAUAAAUUAUAACUUUUUAAGUUUCGUUACUACAAAAAAAAUUAUUCAAUCCUUGCCUAAACAAUGAGUGUUUUUGGUCAUUUAAUCUUGAUAAGAGCAAAUUAAGGACUAAAAUUAAAUAAACUAUUAGGAACUUAACUUAAAAAUCAAGAAUGUUCUAUAGACUAAAACUAUAUUUAACCCUAAACACAAUAGUUUUUACUUACAUGAAAUGUAAAUAAAAGCAAUAACAAAGAAAAUAAAAAUUGACAAUAACUAUUUAAAAAAGUUGGGCUCAACAUGUUUUAAAAAGUUAAUUUUCUUCAGAAUUGAUUGCAUACUAAAUAGACUAAUAAUGUCUUUUUCAAUGUAAACAAAUAAGUUAUUUGCAAAAAAAAAUAAAAAAAUAACUCAUUAUAUGUUUAAUUUGUUUCACUAUUGUUUUGACAAUUUUUAUUCUUCCAAAAGUUUUCUCCAAAUUUGUUAUUGAGACCGAAAGUGUUGAACUAAUACAAAUAAAUCUAUCAAUAUCCCGUAGUAAUUUCUUAAAUUUCUUAUUUAUGUUAAUUUUUAACAAAUAAAUUUAUUUGGGGUAGCUAAAUAUUUUUUAUUUGGGGUAGCUAAAUAUAAAAACAUACCAACAUAUUCAAGAAAAAUAAUUUUUUUGGGGUAGCCAUGGCUACCUCAUGCUAAUGAAGGGAACCGCCCCUGUUGCUUGGGUUUCAUUAAGUAUUAUGAUAUGAUGAUUAGUGAAGUUUAGACACAUUUUUUUGACAGCAUUCUUAGACAUACUAAAAAAGGUUAAGGUCGGAUUCUCAUACUCACUGCUACUGUAGGGAUAUUGGAAGAGAAAUUGGCUCUCAAGAAUUUGACAUCUCUAGAGUGAUAUUAUAAGUUGUAACCACAUGUAAUUUCGUUAUGCACGCACAUAUAAUAUCAACUAUUGAUUUGUUUAUCAAUAAUUCAUAUUACUCUUUUUUACUCAAGAAGGAGGAGCCUUGCCCAACUUUCAAAUAUUACUUACAAGUGUUUUGCCAAUUGACCUGUUUACUCUUUUACUCUUUCUGCAAUUCUAAGUUUCUAACUCAGAUAAAGCAUUUGAUUUCUUGAGUGUUUAUAAAUGAAUUCAGCCUUAAUUCAGCAAAUCAACAAAUCCUGUAGUUCCAAAAUAUUAAUCUAGAAAACCUCAAAAAAUAUGGUUACCGAACAACUCUACUUUAUUCAUACAAAUUUGAACUCUAGAUGAUAUCAAUUAGUAAUUAACUGUUUAACCAUAUUAAACAAAGCAUAAAUAUUAUAACGUUUAACCAUAUAAAGAAAGCCAAAAUAUUAAUAUUCAAUCAACAUGUGCCUUUAAUAGUGUGAUCAAGAGAAGAAAAGUAAUAGUUUUUAUUUGCAAAAUAAUGCUUACUAAUAUCUAGUUAUAUCUCCACGACAAUUGUAAGAUGCAAAGUGAAUUGAUGAGCAAUAGAAGUUCCGACUCCACUAGCAAGAUUAGAACCAAAUAAUUUCUCAUUGAAAUCAAACAAUUCAUGAACUUCGAGCACGAGCCUUUGUGCUAGUUGCUCAAGUGAUUCAGAGGGAAAGUCUUGGUGGAACAAGAUAGACCGAAUCCAUUCUUGAUCCUCUUGAAAGAACCUUUUGCUGCUCACUUCUUGAUAAUCAUGGAAUAAGGUGUUAAGGCGUGUAACUGAGUUAGAAUCAACCGAAUAUGAUAGAACAUUGAUGUGAAAGACUAGUCGAUCAGCUGGCUUGAGCUUGGGGCGUUGCACCUCUAGAUUGUAGUUCAUGCUUUGAAGGUAUUCAUAUUGCUCUUUGUAUUGUGCAGACAAUCCAUAAUAGUAUUGUGCUGGUUCUAAACAAUGUGAAUAAAACAUAAGAUAAGAUACACGUAUAUAUGCAUGUAUAUGAUGCAUAAGAUAAAAUCAUUUACAAUUCAUUACAUCAAAAUAAUGGCUCUAGUGCCGUAAAUACAUAUGCUUGAUUCACAUCAAGGGUUUAAAUUACUUAAAUUUUUUAUACAAAAUACUGAACUUAAAGUUUUAAUUCUCACAGUAGAAUGCUCUUCUUGAAGUUCUAAUUCUCAUAAAGCAUACCUGAUGGUGCAGAGAAUGAAGAAAUCAUAGCUAUUUUUUUCUUCUCAAAACUGAACUUGCUUAUCUCCAUUGAUUCUGUAUUGCACUUUUCUUCAUGAGUUUGCAUCCCUAUUUAUAGAGGAUGAGAAGGUUGCUUUCUGGGAUUGCUUUGUGCAAAGAAGACAAUCUUUUAUUCAAAAAAUAAAUCAUAAAUAUCAUUCAAACAAAUAUCUAAUUAAGUUGUUUCCGAAUUUUUUUUUUUACUAAGAGUUUGUUUUUGUUUGAAGAAAACUCAAUUCAUAAUUUAAUAGGUAAGUGUUAUGUUUAAAUUAUAACAGAACCAUUAUAUUAAUAAUACAAACUACAAACCAAAUCUCUAAAUUUGGCAUAUUGGUCAGAUAGUUUUAAUUCAAAAUUUCAAACAAUAUCCAAUUGCUUAUUAAAGUUAUGUAUUAGAUUGAGAAUUUAAAGACAAGUUUUUAAAUUUGAUCUUAAAGUUUGGGUAUCCUUUAAUUAAAAUGUGACUUAAAAACGUGACCUUCUACCUUAGAGCCUGUUGAACACGCCAUGCUGAAUCUUCAACAUUUACCAAGACUUAUUAUUACUAUAAAGUAGUCUGCAACAUUUCUUCAGGAAAUGUUAAUCAAAUGGAAAACAAUUGCCAACAAUUGCUCCCUUAGCCUCUAAUCAUGUUGUACCCAUACAAAAACCAAAAAACAUUCUCUUCUGUUUCUUUUUAACACUUUUUUUUGUAACCAUAAAUUUACCAGACUUUGUAGAUCAAAUUGUUUUUAUUGAAUUGUCGUUUUUAAAAUUCAAUAUAACGGAACAUGAUUUAAAUGUUUUCAGAAUGAUAGUCUCCUUUGUGUAAAUGGCCAUGUGUAUCCUGUUUGUGGCCAUGAUUUCCUCAGCAAGUAACAAUCAAAUUAAUUAUUUUCUAAAUUUAUUCAGAACAAAUUGUCUUAAAAUUAAAAUAUAUCAUACUAGAGUAGAGUAAUCAUAAAAGACACAAAUUUAAUAGAUGACAGAAAAUUUUCAUUGACAAUAAUCAUAAAAGACACAAAAUUAAUGGACGACAGAAAAAUGAAUCAUGUCAUGGAAACUAAAUUCCUAAUCAUCCAACAACUAAAUGAAAAGAAAAGAAAACAAUAAUGUCAUUUGGAAUCAUUUCCUCGACACCAAAACUAAUCGCGAAUGCCGAAUAGGACUCUAGAUAUCCUCUUCAGAAGGAGACUAUUUGUCCUGAUCAUUUGCAGCACCAGUUGUUGUUGUUGUGGGAUUUAAGUUUCCAUCGCCAGCAGCAGCAGCAGCAGCAGCAGAAGAAGAAGAUUCUCCAGCUGAUUUCUCUUUCUCCAGUUCUGCAAUAAUCUAAUUAACCAAUACAUAAAGAUUGUUAAUUCAAAGAUAUGUGUGAAACUUUCUCUAACACACUCUUUAACACUCUAUUUACUACUGAAGUAAAAUUUAUGCAAGUUCUACCAUUUUGAAAAACAUUAAAGACAUUAAAGAUUGUUAACAUGUUUUUCUUACUUCAAUAGGGCCGUUCGCAAUGAGGGAGUUCACACCAGUAAUUUCAAAAGUGUUUCCCUUAUCAUCGGUCAAUAAAACGGAACAUGUUGCCUUAUUUUGACAUUGAUGACCAUCUUCAUCAGCGAGACAUUGUAGAGAUAAAGAAGUUAUCUCAAAUACUCCCUGCAUGCCGGACAUUGAAACAAACACAAUAAAUAAAUAAAUAAAUAAUACUAUACAAGAGAAAAAUAACUUUACAUAUUAUUAGAUUCAAAGUUUAAUUUAAUGAGAUUUGCAGCUUGACUUUACCGUGUGUGCGUGAGAACCAUCUUGAUCAUGAAAGAGAACGUCUGAUACAUAACCAGACACAGAAUCUAUACUAACAAGGCGAUGAUGAUGAAAUGCCUCAGAUAGUCGGUAUAGAGCAUCCACCACAUCCUACAAAAUCAUUUAUUAUUUUCAAAAGCAUAUAAUAUUUAGUGAAUGAAAUAAAAAAUUGCAUAUAAAAAUUAGUGUUAUGCACCUCUCCCUGACUCAAAUUAGUGGUGUACAGAUCAUUAUUAUCAUUAGCAGAAAAUCUCCGAUCUGGAUACCAAAAGAAAAAAGAAAAUCUCCGAUCUUUUGAUUGAGAGAGGGACAGCUCAUGUAGUGAGACUCCGUUAGAUGUAUAUAUGUGCUGAUAACUGCAAUACAUUAACUCAAUGUUAAACAAGGAAAUGAAGGUGAAUUUUACAAAACAGCACAUAUAAAUUCAUGAAAAGAAAAUCAACGAGACCUAGCAAAUGGGAAAUGGAAAGAGAGAAAAUAACAAAAUAAUCAAUCUCUAAAAAUUAGAUUAUAAACCACUUUCCUGCGAUAAAUGCAAUUUAAAGGCAACACACACAUAAAGAAUCCACAAUUAGUGGUUGUAUUCCCCUUUCCCAAUUCUGAAUAAAAUGUUGCUUUUCACUAAUUGAUGACACAUGUCAUUCUCAUUUCUCAACUUGUAAAAUGAUGUAUAUUGAUUUUAAAUGUUUCCCAUUUCAAUUAUAAUUUUUAAUAUUUUUUUCUCUAUAACAAUAACAAUAUAUUUGACAGGCCCUCGGCUGAUGAAGUGGGCUUGAACAAUCAAAAGAGAAAUAAUAUGAAGCCAAGAAAAGUACAGAGAGAGAAGGGAAACAGUAAUGACUAAUGAGUGAGUAGAAAUUCUGUUAUAGGCGGAGAUCAUUUGUUUCUGGUUUGCAACAAUAUUUAUGAAGUUACAUUUGCCUGAAUUAAAAAAUAUCAAUACAAUGCACAAAAUACUUGCUAGAAAAAGAUAAAACUGGGAAUAUGAUAAGCAAUCAAAUGCAAAGCUAGUUAGACAAGGCAUAUGCACCCUACAGAUCCGAUAAAAGAAUUUAAAUAAGAACUCACGGCUUGCGUCGAGAUGACCAUCCAGCGUGAGCUUCAAACUUAGAAGCACUAACCACUUCAUUGCAACAGUUACAAAAAAUUCCAUAUCCCUUCUUGUAACCUUCCAAUAGUUUCUGAGCGCACCACAAAAGCACAAUCAGAAAAGAUUAAAGUCAUUAAAAAAGGUAAAGCAAAACCCAUCUUUAACCGAAGCUACCUUUCCGUGAGAAUAGUAAGCAACUUCAGCUCCAUCUAGUAACAAGUCUUCUUCAAAUACCAACUUAUGCAACCGUAGAUCCCUAUCAAAAUAGGAUCAAGAAAAAGAGAAAAAUUUAAAUUCCUGAUAACACUAGAACACCGUGUGUUAAUGCAUAUAAUAUACAUCUAAAUCAGUAAAUUCUAUUUUUUUUUUUCAAAUGUGUUAAGUGCUUAAGAAUCAUACUUACUUUCUAGUUAUUUUUCCCCGACUCUUGCCGCGAGAUGCACUCUGCUUCAUGCCAUUAUUCAAUGCCUUUGGAAUCAUAUUUGUGGCUGAUGUCUCUCGAACCAUAUUUGUGUUUGAUGACUUUGGAACCACCAUCUCAGUGUUCGAUGACUUCUGAACCACCGUCUCAGUAUUUAAUGACUCUGGAAGUACUACCGUUUCUAGUGAUCUGAAAUAGUAGGAUCACUCGUCAUAUAUGUUAUGAUUCCAGUGAACUUUGAUAGAUCACACAGCUGUUAACCAUUUAAAAGUCCUUUUAAGUGUUUUUUUUUGGUAUCUAAUUCAUUUUAGUUAUGACUAUACCAUUUGAAACCUGCCAACUUAUCAAUAACUGUUAUCACUUUUGAGUUUUAAGGUAAAACAACAUUAUAAAUUUUGGGGAUUAUUUUGAAAAUAGUAAUGGAUCAUAUAUUUUGGAAUUUAUGUAACUAACUUGUCAUGUCAGUAACUAUACCAUAAAUAUACCAUAACAGAAAACUACCAACUAAUCAAUAGCUGUUAACCAUUUAAAAAUCCUUUAAAGUUCUUUUUUGGUAUCUAAUUCUUUUUAGUUAUGACUAUACCAUUUGAAACCUGCCAACUUAUAAAUAACUGUUAUCACUUUUGAGUUUUAAGGUAAAACAGCAUUAUAAAUUUUGGGGAUUAUUUUGAAAAUUGUAAUGGAUCAUAUAUUUUGGAAUUUGUGUAACUAACUUGUCAUGUCAGUAACUAUCUAAUUCAUGACAGCUAUACUACAGUAUACUCUAUUAAGAAGCAAGUUACAAAUUACAACUCAUUAAUAACUGUUAACAACUGAAAAGUUCUGUCCUUUUUCGUAAAUUUCUAAACAUGGUAAGAGACCCUUGCAUUGCAGGUCAAUCACUGAAUUAUUUAUGCAGCACAAGAUCUAUUUUUCAUGGGACAAUUAGGUAGUUGCCAUUGUUGUGAUCAAACAUAUAGUAUUAAAUAGCGGAUCAUGAAAGUAUUGCGCAAUAACAACACUAUUGCCUCUAUUUGACAUCAUUUUUGUCAACUACGCAAUAGUGUUGAAUCGCCUCUAUAACCGUUAUUUGACAGCAUUUUGUACUAAAGAGCAUAUUGUGGAACAAUUGUGGUUUGUCUUAAUUAUUUAUUAUACUCACUUCCUAUUUUCCUAAUUUGAAAUCCGAAAAACCUAGGAAUGUUGUACUAAAACGCAAAGUUACAAUCCUAUAGAGGCAGAUUUAAGGACUACUUUUAUAUUGAGUAAAAAAGAAGACUACUUUGUUUUUUUCUUGUAAGUAGUCUAGUGAAAGGAAAUUUCCUCCAAUAAGUAGAAAAUCUAGGGUUCGAACUCUUACCCUACAUAUUGCAAUGUACUUGGCAAUUGAGCUAUGCUUACGGGACAACUACUUUACCUUAAUAUGUGUUAUGUGAGUUAAGUGAUGAAUAGAAGAUAAAACGCAAGCUGAAAAUGGAAACCAUUUUUAACAUUUCCAUUCACUACUGGAAACUCUCGAUUAUCCUGCGGAUAUCGUUAAACAUUCCGCAGGAAACCCUGGGGAUUUUGCCAAGGAUUGAGGUUCCCAGGUAAACACAAUACCUGGAACAUAUCCGCAGGUACUUCCGCAGCAAACGACAUAGAAAAAUCCGCAGGAAAACCCCCACCUAAUAUUUUAGUUUAAUAUAGCCAAUUGGCAUAUAAAAAAUUCAUUUAUAUAUAUAUAUAUAUAUAUAUAUAUAUAUAUUUUCAAAUUCAAGAAGCAAAAACGAGAACCUUGUCAGUUAUUUACACAUUAGAUUAUCAUAUGUCAGCCACACCCACUUGGAAAUAAAAUACCUUGAUCUAAAAGAUAGCAUCAUACCUCCAAUGCACAACGAAGGUUCAGGUAGUAUGAGUUUAUAUAUAUGUCACCAAAACAUUUCAAGUUUCAUAUACAAACACAACUAGAAACUCUCGAAUUUCCUACGGAUUUACCUGCGGUUUUAGGUAAAUAUACCGCAGGAAACGUGUUUCCUACGGAGUUUACCAAGGAUUUAGGUUCCCAGGUAAUAUCUGCGUGGGUAAUUGUUUCCGUAAAUUAAAAAUGGAAUCUAAACCCUCCCCUCCCCUCCCCUCCUAAAACCUUCAUCCAAACACACCUUUAGGAUUUUAGGAUCCGCAGGAAAGUUAUAUCCGCAGGAAAUGUUCAAAUAUUCGCAGGAAACAUUCGUUCAGUGUUGGAGGAGUAUUCAUUCUCCUACCUCACUUUGCUGCGAACAAAUCGCAGGAAACUCCGCAGGAAAUUGAUUUAUUUUUUAUAAAAAAUUAAAGCAUUUCAAUGCAUUCCAAAACAAUAAAAAUUAAAACUAUAACAAGUUUCUAUCCAUUUCAGAAAUUAGAACAAAUUCGAACAUCAAAAUAAAAUUAAACGAAACACACGUCUCUUUAUAAUAAUUCAUAAAGGACAAUAAUAUAAUUCCUGUUUCUAAACAUCUUUCUAUGAUAGAUUUGCAGAGUCCUAUUUAUUGGGUCAUUAGUGUCUUGCCUAACAGUGGACACCAGCUGAAGGAGGAUCAUACUAAAGAUUUUUUCGCCCUAACUUCCCAGUUAACUGAUCAGCAGCAGCCAUAGCACGAGAUGCUGGACCAAUGGAACCUUCAUACCUGUGAAAUUAAAGAUAAGUAUACAGUGAAAAGUGAGAGGAAACUAGAGAGUGAAGUGCAUUUGAAGUUCAUGAUAAACAUGCUGAAUUAGAAUUAUAUACUUACAGAGCCACGAAGAUAUGUGCUGCUGUUUGCAUAACAAUUGCACCUUGCACUAAACCAGUUCUCAUGAAUUGUUGUGACCAAGUCUGCCAUCCAAAUUUACAUCAGUAAUGUAAGAGAAAUUUAUGUAAGAGAAGAGAAAUGCGAUGCACCACAGCAGGGGAAAGAGUUACACAAAUGGACAAAAAGUGUGGCGAGUCUAAUGACAUGCAUAUAACAACAUGCAUCUACCUAUCCAUCUGAAAGCCAGAACAUUAUAGACCUUCAAACUCGAUGCUAAUAUAUGUUUUGAACACUUUAUUUAAGGGAAUAAUCCAACACUAAAUGCAAGUACUCAAACACCAAUGCUUCUGAAAGAGAUCAAGAUAAAUAUUUACAGAUAGCAAGCUAUGACAACUUACUUUAGCUCUCAUGAAGAGAGCAUCAUAGAAGUCUCGUUCAAAUUCUGACUGUUCUCACUCAAACAUUUGAAUAUCAAUUGGUGGCAGGACAAGUAUAGGCCUACAAAAAGAGAGAAUAAUUGAUAAGUAUCAUUAUCAUUACAAAUAAAUAAAUUCCAACUCAAUCAAUUGAAUAUGAGUAGGUGGCAGGACAAAUAUAGGCUUGCAAAAAUAGUGUAAUUGGAUAUAUAUCAUUAUAAGUAAAUUCACACAUGCAUAUUUAAAAUAGUGUUACAUUUCCAACACCUCACACCACAUGCAUCCAAAGCCAAAAACUAAACAUUCCAAAAUUCUAAUUACAAAUUACAAUCAAAUUAACUAAAAAAAUCAUCAACACCAGAUCGAACUCAAAUUAACACAAAUUAACAAAAAAAUUAACAACAAUCAUAAAGAGUUUUAUCAAAUCAUGUUUCAAUGGAUAUAGUGGUCUACCUGAGGUUGCUGCAUGACAGGCUUUCCACCAGGAGCAUCUGGAUCACUACAACAGUACUAAGGCCACUAUUAGUGAUAUUUUCACCAAUACUCGCAAUACUGACCACAAAAUAUAGAAACUCUUGGUUAUUACUUACUUUAUGUAAUUUUGAGUAUAGAGAUCCUCACGCAAUUUCGAAGUUUGUUCAAGAGCAAGCUCAAGGUGCUUUAGCUUCAGAUGUUUGUACACAACUUCAGCAGCAUGAAAAAGCUUUGUGCAGCCCUUAGCUCCACAAACAUACUUCCAUCCGUACUUUUCGUCCCUAAUUUUUCUAACAGAUGGAUCCAACACUUCAAUUGCUGCAGCAUCUAUGUUCUCCUUAGCAGCCAUUACUUCCAAUGGAUCCUGACCAUUCUACCUUCCCUGCCAAAAUAAGUCAAGUUUCUUCUCCCAUUCAGACCCUGAUUUACCUGUUUCUUCAUGCCCUGUUCUUUCUGGCCUCACAUGCCUAAACCCCUUAGCCUCAUUUGUCUCAAUCAUGCCAUAAUAAUCUACGCCAUGAAUCCGCCACAGAUAUGUAAUCAGCGUGUCCAAAAGCUCAACACCUUCUAAACCCUUAAAAUAUGUUAGGCCUCGUAUAAUGACUGUGGGACCCACAGAUCCAUUAUGAGACUUGUCAUCAGUUUUGUUGUGAUCACUGCUGCAUAAAAUAAAAAAAAAUAAAAAAUUAAUUAAAGGGAAAAAUGAAGGGAAAUUGGGAGGGAUUUUUACUAAAAAAUGAAAUAAAAGUGGGAAAAUAAAAUUGUGAAAAUAAAAGAGGGAGACUAAAAGGUUAAGUUUGCAUCUCUACAUAAGGCUUGUGUUUUGUAUCUCAAAUACACCUUAUUACGGAGACCUACCGCCUUCCUUUUCCUCCUUCCCUACCUAAACUAUAAAGUCUCAAUUCAGCAGUCAAUAAGAUUUUGGUAUAUGUUGGUGAAGAUAAAUGAGUUUUUAAGUUUUAACAUGCAUCUCUAGAUAAAGGUAGUCCAUAAAAAACCAGAACACUAGGUACAUAGAGCUACGAAGACUAACCUUAUUUGGUCUAAUUUCAUGUCUUUCACAUAUUUUACUGUCGUAGGAAAAACUAGGAAGCUACUGCUGUUUAGCAACAACUGCACCAAAAGAAACUACCAGAAGUGAGUUGCCAAACAAGGCUCAUGCACCCAUCAGAAUCAAUCAUCUAACCAAAAUCUGUUUGACAUUAGUUGUUAUUAGUAAUUUUAUAUAGUUUAAUAAUAUGAAAUGUGUCAUUAUCUUAAAUCAAAUCAGUUAAAACCAUUCACAAAUAAUGAACUUAUAGCUAAAUCAUUCACAAUAAUGCCAACAGCUGCAACAUACUCCAUGUAGUACCAAAUGAGUUAAAUCUUGCUAAGAGUAAAACAAAUGAAAAUCUUGCUAAGAGUCAUAUGGUUAGAAUCUUGAGUUAGAAUUCAACAUUGGACAUACAACAUCGUUAAAUAUGUUUCUCUUUAGUCGUAUUCUUUGGAUAGUAGGAGCCUUUUUCAUUGGCAUUCUUGAUUUUUCUUAAUUCAUGCAUUUUUCUUAAUUUGCGGUUUUAAAUUUGUUUCUCUUUUGUCGUAUUUUGGAUAGCAGGUUUGUAAUUGGUGUUACUAACUUUCCUUAAUUCGUGAUUUUCUUAACUUAAAGAUUUAAAUGUGUUUCUCUUUAGCUAUCUUGUAUUUUUUACUCACUGUUCCAAGAGAUAAAGAUUGUUAAUUCACUGUUCCUCACUUUAAAAUAUGUUUUCAAAAGUCUCUACAUGCAACCACAUCCAAAUUUCUAGACAGCUCAAAUACAUGAACACUAAAACACAGAAUUUUCAACAUGAAAUCGAAGAAAUAAACCCUAAAACACAAUUUCCAAUGUGAAAUCAAAUAAAAUAAAACAUAAUUUCCUACACCAAAUCAAAUAAAUAAAUCAUAAAUACUCAAAUUUCAACAUGAAAUCAAAUAAAUGAACCCAUCGAAUUUCAACACAAUUUUAUCAACAUUAAAUGAUAUAAAAAUAGAAACCUUGACAUAAGCAUUAUUAUCCAGAUUAUAUAUAACCCCAUCAACUUUCGCUUCACGGUAAUGAAACUACGCCUUCAAACUUUCAUCACUACAAAACUCAAACGUAUAUCAGCGAGCUUCAAAACUUGAAAGAGCAAAGCAGAAUUAAUUGUCACUGUUUUAGAGUGUAUGGAAGAGUGGGAACCUUAAAUUGUGACAGCAAGUGACGGAUUCGAGUAACAUCAUAGUGGAGUGAGCAAAGCAUUUACCAGAAAAUUGGAGGAAAGGGAAUCAAAAAGAGCAAGCUCCUGUUCUGUUACGUGCAUGUACACCAGCUGUUGCACAGUCCCAUUUGGAUCAGAUCAGACUUCACCCAGAAGGCCAGUCGAUACAAAUGGUCCAUGCAUAAAUGAUCACUAUUUACACUAAUCAACAUCAAUAAUACUACAGUUUUGCAUCUAACAAUCAAAUUUAUUUCCUGUACCCUAAAUUGCUAUAUACACAAGGAUGAAAAACAGAAUUUAUAAAACCAUUAUAAAUUGAAGUAACUUUUGAAAUUGGAAAUCAAGGCCUACAAAUGUUUCCUAUGGUCACAGAAGAUUUGACGCCAUUGCCAAAUUUGGAAAGAAUUUCUAGUUCAACUUUACCCUCCAAUUCCCUCCUCUUCAAUCUCUCUACUCUCAAAGACAAGCUCAAUCAAGUGCAAAAUCUUGUUGGUGUCAUUCUCUCCCCAAAUCAACAAGACUCAUCAACUUCCAUGGCAUUAUCCACAACGAACUCCACAAUACAAGAAAUCAUUGUAACUUCCACAUCAAUGAUGUUCACUUGCCAACAGAUUGCUCUUAGUUUCCCUCAAGGUACUACUUCUAUUAAAUGUACAAACCAAGAAUUUCAAAAGCAACAAUCUAAUAUUCAAUCAAAUUUUGGCAACAAUGACACAAUCAUUGAUCUUAGAGGUCAAAGCAUAUUUUCUAAUAACGAGUCAGAACCAUUGGAUUGGUUUGGUGAAAGCUAUAAUAGUAACAUUAAUUAUAGGCUCAAGGAUGAUAUUGAUGAUCAAAGGGUUGAUCAUGAAAUUAGUGAAACCAAUAAUAGUAUAAGAGAGUCU
rnacentral:lncRNA from 1 species